GAAUAGUGCCCCUUGAACUCUUUGAGGUACCCUCCGUGGUGACCAACAUAUUGAUGAGUUUGAAAAUAGUGUAGUCAAGUUUGUUCAUAUGAAAAUUUAUAAUGAAUUAACUAUAUGAAAUGGUAAUGAAUUGAAAGAUCAGAUCCAUCUGCAAUUCUUUUUGUAUUUCUAGCCUGAGCUUCUCAAGCUCCUCAAUGUCCUUGAUCACUGUCAUA
rnacentral:lncRNA from 1 species